GUGAGGAAUAUUGGUCAAUGGGCGGGAGCCUGAACCAGCCAAGUCGCGUGAAGGAAGAAGGAUCUAUGCUUCGUAAACUUCUUUUGCAGGGGAAUAAAGUGCAGGACGUGUCCUGUUUUGUAUGUACCCUGAGAAUAAGGAUCGGCUAACUCCGUGCCAGCAGCCGCGGUAAUACGGAGGAUCCGAGCGUUAUCCGGAUUUAUUGGGAUUAAAGGGUGCGUAGGUGGUUUGAUAAGUCAGCGGUGAAAGUUUGCAGCUUAACUGUAAAAAUGCCGUUGAAACUGUCGGACUUGAGUGUAAAUGAGGUAGGCGGAAUGCGUGGUGUAGCGGUGAAAUGCAUAGAUAUCACGCAGAACUCCGAUUGCGAAGGCAGCUUACUAAGCUACAACUGACACUGAAGCACGAAAGCGUGGGGAUCAAACAGGAUUAGAUACCCCAGUAGUCC
rnacentral:rRNA from 1 species